AAGGCCUUUCCAGCUCUUUUCUUCCUACCUGUCUCUUACCCACCUCUCGAAGUCUCUGUCUCUCUUUCGGAAGAUCCAAGUUCGCAUCUCGCUUUCGGCAGACCACGGAUGGAUUUGCAUGACGAUCCCUUUCUCGACCUCUCAUACACGAGACAAAUUACGAUUUCAAUGCAUAUAGGCCAGCUCCUUUAUAUGAGACCAUUGAUUCCCAAGACACUCAACCUCAAAUUGAAUCCACCACUAAAAGAGCUCAACGGAAAGCAAACUUUAGUGUAGAAGAAGACAAUGUAGUAGUAUCGGCUUGGCUCACUAUUAGUAUGGAUCCAAUUGAUGGUACCGAUCAAAAAGGCUCGACAUUUUGGGGUAGAGUGUACGCACACUAUGAGAAAGAUAAGAAGCCUCAUUUUUCUGUACGUUCUGUGAACUCUCUAAUGAAUCAGUGGCAAAUGAUCCAAAAAGCUGUUAACAAGUUUAAUGCCAAGGUAGUUCAAGUGAAGCAAAACGCCCAAGUGGUGUUACCGAACUAGACAAGAUUGCGGAAGCUAAGAUUUUGUAUCACGCGCUCCAUGGCAGCCACUUUAAUUUUGAACAUUGUUGGAUUACAAUGAGAUGUCACCCAAAAUGGAAAACCUUGGUGGCCGAAGGAGUCAAAAAAGUGAAAAGAAAAUCACUUUCACAAGAAUCUUCUUCUACUCCAAAGUUGAUACAUUUAGGGGAAGACGAUGUGACUCCAGCAACGGUUGUAGACUUGGAGACGCCGAUUGGCAAGAAGGCCCAAAAAGAGAGAGAGAAAACACAAAGGAGGCAAGAUCAUAUGUCUUUGCAUCUUGCGGAGGUGAUUAAUGAUAUAAAGGAAGACAAAGAAGAAAACUCAGGAAAAGAGAAUGGAAGAACGACAAGAGAUUAUUCGUCUUACAAAAGAAAGGCUUGUGUUUGACCAAGAGAGAAAGGAAAGUGACACGGAGGCUCAUCUUCUUAAGAGGCAAAGGCUUGAGAUGGAAAUUAUGAGUAUGGAUACAAGCAACAUGUCUCCUAUGAAAAAAUAAUAUUUUCGUUCAUGUCAAAUUGAAAUCUUUGAAAAACGUAGAGUCAUUACCGAAUAUUGAUUGACUAAAUGUUUUUACAUGUGUUUGAUGUAUUUUGUGGAAAGACUAUUUUGUGGACUAAAUAGUUAGUUUGUGAACAUGGUCCAAUAUUAGAAUGUAUUUUGUGUAAAGACUAUUUUGUGGACCUAUUAGUUAGUUUG